UUUUGUCUUUCCUCCGGCAACAAUGUCAAUGUCCCGCAAGAAAGAGUUUGAUGUGAAACAGAUCCUGAGGCUUCGCUGGAGAUGGCUUAGUCAUCCUUCCCAAGGAUCGCCUAACACUGGAAACUGCCUUCAGCUGGAAGGAUAUGAGCAUAGGGGGACCCUGCCCGGUUUAGGGCAGGUUGAAGAACCGCUCACGGGACAGAAACGGACUGAAGAAAGGCAAUAGUCCUGUCCACCACAAUAUACUGACGCCAGUGCCAGGACCAGCCCCUACCCAUCAAAGAGUCCUCCAGAACUGGCACCAACAAAACGUGAUAGUACUUCUUCAAGCAAAUGAAGAUACUCCUAAAGCGGUUCCAGUGGAGAAUUUGCUCAGAGAAGCUUGUGAGAAGCGCUCACGAGAUUUGGAGAUGAUGGGUGAUGACAAUAUAGAAGAUUCUAGAGCACGAUGUGUCUUUUUGCCUUCAUCCAUAGUGUACAUGAAAGAGUGCAGUAAGGCAACUCCUGAAAUGGAUACUUCAUGGUUGAGGGAAAAAUGUUUUAUUGUGGAUAAGCGAGAGAAAAUUUCCAGAGCAUUUGGAGGAGUUCAAAGAAGAGAGAAAGAGAAGUUGACUGGACAUGACCAGGGCUAUCUGUGAGAGAGAAAAUGUCACUCUUGAAUCUAAUGAGAAUUUGUUUCAAUGAACAAGAUGCUGCAGAUGUGUAUGUACACUGGAGCAAAUUACUCAAUCACUUGUGCUUUAUUUUAUCACAUAUAAAAGAUAGAUUUAUCAGAUCCUAUCCAAUACAAUUUGUAUGAGGACAAUUAUGUAAUUUUUUCAAAUUAUUAUAUUUAUUUUCCAGCUGUUUCACUUGAAUUUCUCUGCAACAAUUACAUUGCUUGCCAAAAAUAAAUGUUUUCCUCAUUUCUCAUGCUUAUUCAUUUUAUUUCUGUUACAUACUUCACACAAAUGCUGUAAUUUCCAAAAUAUUUAAAACUGAAUUAUAGCCAUGUAUGUUCACAUAUAUACCUGCAUCUUUUUUUUCUUGAAAGAGGAUUCUAAUGAAGCAUGAACAUAGCUGGGACAGUUGUAUUUUGUUGUAUAGAAUAGUUAUCUUCUACUACCAAUUCACUCUGAUGCUUUUUCCAGAAAUUGAUAGUUUAUUUUAAAAAAUAUUACAGCAUUUACAUUACAUAAAUCCUUAUCAUAAUAGAUUCACUGAUAUUGUAUAAUAUUCAUAUUUUAGAACAAAUUGUGCUUUAUCAUGUAUAUAAUUAUUUUAAUAACUAAUAAAUUUCAUUAAUCACAUUUAGUGCUGUUGUAUGAACUUACAUGAGUCAAUUUGGCUUUCAGAUUUCAUCAGAUAGCUUUGUCAAGUUUGUUGUCAAGGAUAUCUUUUAAAAUGUAAUAGAUAUUUUUAUUCUUUAUGCUAUGAAAUGAAUUAAAUGGUAUCAUGAAAUAAGUAAUUUUUUUUGUAAAUUUUGUUAUAAGGUCUUUAGAAUCUGGCAU